GCCCGGUUGAUCUAGUCGGUUAUGAUGCAGACCUAAUAUGUUCGCAUGCUUAGUCUGAUGUCGGCGGUUCGAUCCCGCCACUGGGCA